rnacentral:misc_RNA from 1 species
GGGGGUCGUGGUCGUUCUGGAGGUUCUGAUUUGAAGUGCUAUGAGUGUGGUGAGUCUGGUCAUUUUGCUCGUGAAUGCAGAGUGCGAGGAGGUCCAGGUCCUGGUAAACGUAGAAGUCGUAGCCCCCCUAGAUAUCGGAGGAGUCCAAGUUAUGGUCACAGGAGUUAUAGUCCUCGUGGACGUUCCCCCAGGCGCCGAAGCGUGUCACCUCGUGGCCGUAGUUAUAGCCGAUCUCCAUAUCGUGGAAGAGAUGAAGUUCCUUACUCCAAUGGAAAUGGUGUCAGGGACCGAAUCAGAAGCAGGAGCUGAACGGAGAAGUUGAUUACUUAUCUCAUUCAGGAGUUUUUCGAUGUGUGUUAGCAUUACUAUGCUUGACUUGAUCACAGCUGUGUAAGUGAGGCCGUGCCCUCAACUUCAACGGCUUUAAUUUUCGUAUGGUAUUAUAAGUGUGUUUUUUUAAUUUCUUAACUUUCUCCCCUUUUAAGAACCAUUAUGUUAGGGACAUAGACCUUUUGUACUUUAUGGCAUCUAUUAUCUUUAGAAAAGAAAUAUCCUAAAGAAUGCUGCUAAAAAUUUACUUUUGUUUUCUUGUGUCGAGGUGUCUUCACGGUACUCUGCUUCGUUGGUUUUCUGCUCCCACACUCUGUGGUUUCGUUCUUCACUGCCCUGCUGUGGGAUCUUCAAUUUCAAUGAUUGUGGAUCCCAGCUAGCUACAUCACUAGAUGCUUCUGUUUGAUUGAAUCUCUGCUGCUAUGACACGCCUCACCUCAAAGUGUAGUGGUAUAUUAAAAGUAGAUAUUAAAGAUGAUGAAUGGCAUCACAGUCAUAUGACGGUACCUAAUCUGUUACCGAGAGGUUGAGAAACUCACAUUCUUGUUAAACAAUUGAUCGCCACAUCAGCAAGGUCAUUGGGCCGGUAUCUGAAAGCUUACUCAGUGGAAGUUCAUGGCAUCAAGAGUUGCAUGUAACAUCCUAGGUCCUGUGAUUAUUCCCUUUCUUUUAUGCUCUGCUUUUAGCCUCUUCUUUUUUGCUCCCUUUUAAAAUCAAUUAUUUGCUUCUCUUUUUAUCCCAUUUUAAACUAUUUUUCUGUGUCGUUUCCUUUCAUGGUAUUCUUUUAUCAAAAUCUUUUUUCUUCCAUAAAUGUCUCUCCCUUCAUUGGAGGAGAAGUGAACAAUAUUUCUUCAAAAUAUUUCCUUUCAUCUCUGUACUUCUCCGUACAAGUUUUGUUGUUUCCUUUUUAUGAAUUGGCCUUUGCGUCCUAUUAAAACUCAAAAUUUUGAAAGAUUUGCAUGAGAUUGGUGUGAUACCAAGUAAAGACUAGUGUUACACUUUGCUUCCUUUUUUGAUCUACUUUCACUUUUAUUUCCUUAAAUUUGUCUUGUAUUGCAAAAUCUGUUUCUCUAUUUUGCUUUCUGCUGGAGACAAAAUGGUUCAUGAAUUUAUUUCCUUCUAGUUGCUUUAAAAUUUUAGAAGAGGGUGAAUUUAUCUGGCGAGUCUACAUCAAUCGUCAUUUGAAGCACCUAUAUUAGAUUGGUUCAUUGCAUAUUAGCAGGAACCAAUGUACUUGUUGCUCUUCAAUGAGUCUGCUCUUACUCCAUGGGAAACUUCAUUGAGCUUUACUUGCUUUGUACCCGGUUUUCUUCUUCCACAACACCUGCGGCUUGAUUUUGCUUAGCUUCAAGUUGUUAAAGCGACAUCUCAUUGAUCCCCUAUCCGUCUUCGCAAAUUGCCUGCUUGCUAGAGCUUUGAUCUAUUUUUGUAUUCUAAUGGCUUGAAAUUUUCAAGCAAACUUUUUACCUUCGAAAUAUGUUUGUUACUUGUCGUAACAUUAUGUUAUGUUUGUGAUUUCACACUUAUUUUCAAUUGUGAGAUAUAUUAUGUUCUGUGAAAAAAGGGGCAUUCUUCUAUUUCCCUCUUGAUACAAACUACC